AAAUUGAAGAGUUUGAUCAUGGCUCAGAUUGAACGCUGGCGGCAGGCCUAACACAUGCAAGUCGAACGGUAACAGGAAUCAGCUUGCUGAUUCGCUGACGAGUGGCGGACGGGUGAGUAAUGUCUGGGAAACUGCCUGAUGGAGGGGGAUAACUACUGGAAACGGUAGCUAAUACCGCAUAACGUCGCAAGACCAAAGAGGGGGACCUUCGGGCCUCUUGCCAUCGGAUGUGCCCAGAUGGGAUUAGCUAGUAGGUGGGGUAACGGCUCACCUAGGCGACGAUCCCUAGCUGGUCUGAGAGGAUGACCAGCCACACUGGAACUGAGACACGGUCCAGACUCCUACGGGAGGCAGCAGUGGGGAAUAUUGCACAAUGGGCGCAAGCCUGAUGCAGCCAUGCCGCGUGUAUGAAGAAGGCCUUCGGGUUGUAAAGUACUUUCAGCGAGGAGGAAGGCGUUGUGGUUAAUAACCACAGCGAUUGACGUUACUCGCAGAAGAAGCACCGGCUAACUCCGUGCCAGCAGCCGCGGUAAUACGGAGGGUGCAAGCGUUAAUCGGAAUUACUGGGCGUAAAGCGCACGCAGGCGGUUUGUUAAGUCAGAUGUGAAAUCCCCGGGCUCAACCUGGGAACUGCAUCUGAUACUGGCAAGCUUGAGUCUCGUAGAGGGGGGUAGAAUUCCAGGUGUAGCGGUGAAAUGCGUAGAGAUCUGGAGGAAUACCGGUGGCGAAGGCGGCCCCCUGGACGAAGACUGACGCUCAGGUGCGAAAGCGUGGGGAGCAAACAGGAUUAGAUACCCUGGUAGUCCACGCCGUAAACGAUGUCGACUUGGAGGUUGUGCCCUUGAGGCGUGGCUUCCGGAGCUAACGCGUUAAGUCGACCGCCUGGGGAGUACGGCCGCAAGGUUAAAACUCAAAUGAAUUGACGGGGGCCCGCACAAGCGGUGGAGCAUGUGGUUUAAUUCGAUGCAACGCGAAGAACCUUACCUGGUCUUGACAUCCACAGAACUUUCCAGAGAUGGAUUGGUGCCUUCGGGAACUGUGAGACAGGUGCUGCAUGGCUGUCGUCAGCUCGUGUUGUGAAAUGUUGGGUUAAGUCCCGCAACGAGCGCAACCCUUAUCCUUUGUUGCCAGCGGUCCGGCCGGGAACUCAAAGGAGACUGCCAGUGAUAAACUGGAGGAAGGUGGGGAUGACGUCAAGUCAUCAUGGCCCUUACGACCAGGGCUACACACGUGCUACAAUGGCGCAUACAAAGAGAAGCGACCUCGCGAGAGCAAGCGGACCUCAUAAAGUGCGUCGUAGUCCGGAUUGGAGUCUGCAACUCGACUCCAUGAAGUCGGAAUCGCUAGUAAUCGUGGAUCAGAAUGCCACGGUGAAUACGUUCCCGGGCCUUGUACACACCGCCCGUCACACCAUGGGAGUGGGUUGCAAAAGAAGUAGGUAGCUUAACCUUCGGGAGGGCGCUUACCACUUUGUGAUUCAUGACUGGGGUGAAGUCGUAACAAGGUAACCGUAGGGGAACCUGCGGUUGGAUCACCUCCUUACCUUAAAGAAGC
rnacentral:rRNA from 1 species